rnacentral:rRNA from 1 species
GACGAACGCUGGCGGCGUGCCUAAUACAUGCAAGUAGAACGCUGAAGAGAGGAGCUUGCUCUUCUUGGAUGAGUUGCGAACGGGUGAGUAACGCGUAGGUAACCUGCCUUGUAGCGGGGGAUAACUAUUGGAAACGAUAGCUAAUACCGCAUAACAAUGGAUGACUCAUGCGGUAAUCAUUUAUUUGAAAGGGGCAAAUGCUCCACUACAAGAUGGACCUGCGUUGUAUUAGCUAGUAGGUGAGGUAACGGCUCACCUAGGCGACGAUACAUAGCCGACCUGAGAGGGUGAUCGGCCACACUGGGACUGAGACACGGCCCAGACUCCUACGGGAGGCAGCAGUAGGGAAUCUUCGGCAAUGGGGGCAACCCUGACCGAGCAACGUCGCGUGAGUGAAGAAGGUUUUCGGAUCGUAAAGCUCUGUUGUAAGUCAAGAACGAGUGUGAGAGUGGAAAGUUCACACUGUGACGGUAGCUUACCAGAAAGGGACGGCUAACUACGUGC